UCAGGAAGAAGAAGAACAAGGGUUCAAACCGUUGUUCUUGAUAAAUCUUCAAAUUGAAGGGUAGAAUGAAGUCCAAAUUCACAACCGAACAUGAAUUAACGAUCACCUUCACAAGGGGAUCAUAAGGGAUGAUGUCGAGAAUCAUGUCAAGAUGGAUGGGAGCGUUGAAGGCUAACGGGCUACGAAUACCCAAUCAAAUAAGCGAACGCAAAUACGGGCGCGCAAGGUAA
rnacentral:lncRNA from 1 species